GGGCUCACACAAGCGGUGGAGGAUGUGGCUUAAUUCGAGGCUACGCGAAGAACCUUAUCCUAGAUUUGACAUGCUUGAGAAUCCCUAUGAAAAUAGAGAGUGCCCUUCGGGAGCUCUUGCACAGGUGCUGCAUGGCUGUCGUCAGCUCGUGUCGUGAGAUGUCGGGUUAAGUCCCUUAACGAGCGAAACCCUUAUCUCUAGUUGCCAGCGGGUAAUGCCGGGGACUCUAGAGAGACUGCCGGUGUCAAACCGGAGGAAGGUGGGGAUGACGUCAAGUCCUCAUGGCCCUUACGUGUAGGGCUACACACGUGCUACAAUGGCCGGUACAAAGCGGUUGCGAACCCCGCGAGGGGAAGCUAA
rnacentral:rRNA from 1 species